GACGAACGCUGGCGGCGUGCUUAACACAUGCAAGUCGAACGGUUAAGCGCCUUCCUUUUUGGUGGGUGUGGAUGAGUGGCGAACGGGUGAGUAACACGUGAGUAACCUGCCCCCUUCUUCUGGAUAACCGCAUGAAAGUGUGGCUAAUACGGGAUAUUCUGGGUCUGCCGCAUGAUGGGUCUGGGAAAGAUAUUGUUUCGGUGGGGGAUGGGCUCGCGGCCUAUCAGCUUGUUGGUGGGGUGAUGGCCUACCAAGGCGGUGACGGGUAGCCGGCCUGAGAGGGUGGACGGUCACACUGGGACUGAGACACGGCCCAGACUCCUACGGGAGGCAGCAGUGGGGAAUAUUGCACAAUGGGCGCAAGCCUGAUGCAGCGACGCCGCGUGAGGGAUGGAGGCCUUCGGGUUGUGAACCUCUUUCGCCAGUGAAGCAGGCCUGCCUCGUUUGUGGGUGGGUUGACGGUAGCUGGAUAAGAAGCGCCGGCUAACUACGUG
rnacentral:rRNA from 1 species